CCGGUGGAACUGAGCAAUCGAAUAAAAUAUGAAGUAUCAAAUCAUCAUUUGUGUAACCAUCGUUGUCAUUUUUGGUACGGUAAAUUCGCUGCCCAGCGAAAAUAGAAGAUAUUGCGGUGCGCGGUUGUUAUACGCACUGGCAGAAGUGUGCCAAGAGCAACUUCACAACGCCAGCUCGAAGCCACAGGGACAAGCCAGCACUUCGGCACCAGUUACCGAUGUUGUUAGCACAACGGCUCGGAUGCGAAUCCGUUACAAAUUGAGCGAAGAAUGCUGCUUCCGGCCGUGCAGUAUCGAUCAACUGAAAGACUACUGUGUUUAGGCGUAUAAUUUCGGCAAUCAUGGUAGUUUGCCUUACCCAUUCCCACGAUAUUGUCGGUUGCUUGUGUUUUUUCUGCCGUUGCCAUAUGCUAUUUUUCUGAAAUAAAUGUUUUUUUUUUAAUAGUAAAAA